rnacentral:rRNA from 1 species
CCUACGGGGGGCAGCAGUGAGGAAUAUUGGUCAAUGGGCGCGAGCCUGAACCAGCCAAGUCGCGUGAGGGAUGACGGCCCUACGGGUUGUAAACCUCUUUUGCCGGGGAGCAAUGGACUCCACGUGUGGCGCCACUGAGAGUACCCGCAGAAAAAGCAUCGGCUAACUCCGUGCCAGCAGCCGCGGUAAUACGGAGGAUGCGAGCGUUAUCCGGAUUUAUUGGGUUUAAAGGGUGCGUAGGCGGAACAUUAAGUCAGUGGUAAAAUUUAGGGGCUCAACCCCUUCGUGCCAUUGAAACUGGCGCUCUUGAGUGGAAGAGAAGUAUGCGGAAUGCGUGGUGUAGCGGUGAAAUGCAUAGAUAUCACGCAGAACCCCGAUUGCGAAGGCAGCAUGCCGGCUUCCGACUGACGCUGAAGCACGAAAGCGUGGGGAUCGAACAGGAUUAGAUACCCGAGUAGUC